AGAGCAUGUAACGUCCUGGUACCAUUUGUCUCAAGCAGCUCCUUCCCACACUGCACGUGCCCCUUCCAAAAUGCCCCCGUAAUUUCAUUUUGAUGAUGAUCAUGAUCAUGGUAUAGUAGCCUACUAGAUCUGAUGGUCCUCAGCUCAUAAAAAGGUAUAGAAACUGAAGUAAGUUAUAGACGCAGACACAGAGAGAGAGAGAGAGAGA
rnacentral:misc_RNA from 1 species